UGGGGAUCCAGAGUUUGAUCAUGGCUCAGGAUGAACGCUAGCGGCAGGCUUAACACAUGCAAGUCGAGGGGUAUGCUUCUUCGGAAGCAGAGACCGGCGCACGGGUGCGUAACGCGUAUGCAAUCUACCUUUUACAGAGGGAUAGCCCAGAGAAAUUUGGAUUAAUACCUCAUAGUAUUAUGAAAUGGCAUCAUUUUAUAAUUAAAGUCACAACGGUAAAAGAUGAGCAUGCGUCCCAUUAGCUAGUUGGUAAGGUAACGGCUUACCAAGGCUACGAUGGGUAGGGGUCCUGAGAGGGAGAUCCCCCACACUGGUACUGAGACACGGACCAGACUCCUACGGGAGGCAGCAGUGAGGAAUAUUGGACAAUGGGCGCAAGCCUGAUCCAGCCAUGCCGCGUGCAGGAUGACGGUCCUAUGGAUUGUAAACUGCUUUUAUACGAGAAGAAACACUGCUACGUGUAGCAGCUUGACGGUAUCGUAAGAAUAAGGAUCGGCUAACUCCGUGCCAGCAGCCGCGGUAAUACGGAGGAUCCAAGCGUUAUCCGGAAUCAUUGGGUUUAAAGGGUCCGUAGGCGGUUUAAUAAGUCAGUGGUGAAAGCCCAUCGCUCAACGGUGGAACGGCCAUUGAUACUGUUAGACUUGAAUUAUUAGGAAGUAACUAGAAUAUGUAGUGUAGCGGUGAAAUGCUUAGAGAUUACAUGGAAUACCA
rnacentral:rRNA from 1 species